UUGUGGAUUUGCCGCAGCUCUCCUCCCCGACGCCACUCUCCCUCCCCGAUCCCGCUCCUCCCCAUCCAUGGCGCUCCGAUUCACCGCCACCAGCGAGCCCUCCCUCCUCCACUGACCCCUCUUCUUCCUUUCUUCUCCUUUACCAACUCCUAUUCCUCUCACCUCCCCCGACCCCCAGUUGCUCCGCCCCGUGCUCCGUCCUGCUGCCGGGAGCAACGUCCGAUGACCCCAGUUGCCCCGCCCGGACCUCCGUCCUGCUGCCGGGAGCAGCGGCCGCUGACCCCCAGUUUGCACUGCUGUCCCAGGUAGGUUUUCUUGAACACUAAGCCCACUAAAUCAGCAGGUUUAGUACCGGAUCGACCUCAAGCACACAGGAUCUGAACACCUCGAGGGGAGAUUGACAUUUUGACCAUCCCUGCACCUCAUCCCUGUUCUUAGAGGGCAAAUUUUUUGCAAGGUUCGUCUGACUAAGCUUUUAAUUUGUGCCAAUGGAAACCUCGGUUCCAAGUUAAUUAGUUGCUGAUGCAUACCCCAUUGUCCUGUACUCCCUGUUACGAAAUAGAUGAUGCUCGUGUAAUUGUAAUUUCUGCCGUAUUUGGGAGAGCAAGACGUGUUGAUGUGCAUUUGUAGGCAGGCCUUGUGAUGCCCGCCAUUCCAUUCCAAGUAGCAGAACAAAGAGCCAGUUGUACUCGCUAGUAAUGGUGCAUCUCUGACUAGCUCUUGCCGCAAGUUGAUUAGGAUUUGCAGAAAUUGGAUCUUUCAUAGGAACUUUAAAAUAUGCAAAUAUGGAAGGUUUUAGACGGAAUGGUUUGAUUAGGUUCUGCUGCUCUUUGUAAUGUAGCUAUGUUUUAGGACAAAUAUUGCCAAAGAUGAGAAAGGUUGCUCUGUUUUCGUUUUAGACUCUAAAAAGUGGACACGGGCUCUGGAGACGGUGUGUUAUCAGUUCUUACAAAAGUUAGAUUCACCAUAUUUUGCAUCCAUUAUUCAGGUCUGCCUAGCUCAAUAAGUUUAGGAAUAGAUUGAUCUGUUGUGGUUUUUGUAGCCUCUUAUAGAAAACAUUAGCAGACUGCUACAUUGGCCGGUGCUAAUUAACUAUUAUGUGGGUUAACUUUCAGGUUGAAAUAUUUAGUUGAGUUGCAUAUAUGCAUGUUGGUUGUUGGUCCAUCCGGUUGCACUUUUCAGAAAUUAAGCUCCUAUAUUACCACAUAUACACUAAGCUGGGUAUGCAUAGCAUCAUCCAUCAUGUGCAUAGCAGUGCGCACACUGCACACACUCCCUGCCUCGUUGAACCACAUGCAUAUAACCAUCUUGUUUGUCCAACAUGAAUCUGCUCUAACAACAUGAUUUUUUUUCAAUUGCCAUUUACUUCUCAAUAUAGAUGUUGGACUUGCACGUUAACACAUUGCAUCAUGAUGUGACGAGGAAGAAAGAAAGAGGGCAGCAGCUGGAUUUUUUGUGUCGGUUGUUGCGAUAGUUCAACACACGUAUUGUCAUAGGAGGAUUAGAGAGCUUGAUGAUUUUAGCGAGGAUGAGGCAGAGAUUAGGAUUAGAAAGCAUAUGCUUAAAUCAAUUUGUCAAGGUUCUAAUAAGUAUUGUUAUGAUAGUUUGCGUCUAACUAAAUGGUCCUUUGUGGACCUAUGUGCUAUCUUGCGUGAAAGAUAUGGUUUGUGGGACACGUUUUAUGUAUCAGUCGAAGAAUCACUCACAAUCUUUUUAUGUGAAAUAUUCUGUUUGUUGGAGGCAAUUAGAGGGAGAGAAUGAGAUAUAAUAACACGGGAGUUCAUAAUGUACAUCGUCGGGCAGGUAAUCUGCAAGAUUGCUAUAACCGGGCACCAUCCUCGGAUCAUUAGCGACGUUGUGGCUAGGCACCUUGAGCGGGGCGCACGAUUGCUUCGCUUGUUCGCCGAGCUGGGCAAUUUGUUUCCCAGCUCGUCGUUCUUUCAGCCUUUGAUCACUAACAGUACUUCCUGACCGCUUCGCUUCGGCAAAUUCCUUUCCAAUAAUGCGCUCAUAGUUUCCUUUCGGCGGAGACUUGGGUGGUUUUGUCAGGGCAGCCAGAGUGCGCUUCGCUUUCACCGGAUCUACCUUCUCCUUCGGAAGUGGAUGUCUCUUUGCUUUCAACCCUUGAAACCAGUCAUCCACUUCGGUUCGUGCGAUCUCGGCGUUCUCCUCCAGGGUCCUCUCGUAUGGUAACUUCUUUGGAGUCUUCAGAGAAGGACCGAAUCUGUAUGUCCUCCCGCCUCUGGCUGUACUGCUAGACGCCGGUCGAGCAGACGGAGCGGUUGUCUUCUUUACUUGCUUACGAGGCGGAGGAGAAGGACUACGACGCGCCGGAGCAGCCGGAGCGGUGGCAGGUCUCUUCCGCCCUUGCUGACGAGGCGGAGAAGGAAGAGGCUGGCUGCUCGGGCGCGUCGGCGCAGUCGGAGAAGGAGGCGGAGUGCCGCCACGCGCUGGAGAAGGAGCUGGUCGAGUGCCCUGAUUGUCACUCGCCGGAGGAGGAGGCGGUGGAGGAGGCGGAGUGCCCUGAUGAAGCAAAUAUGCCCUAGAGGCAAUAAUAAAGUUAUUAUUUAUUUCCUUAUAUCAUGAUAAAUGUUUAUUAUUCAUGCUAGAAUUGUAUUAACCGGAAACAUAAUACAUGUGUGAAUACAUAGACAAACAGAGUGUCACUAGUAUGCCUCUACUUGACUAGCUCGUUAAUCAAAGAUGGUUAUGUUUCCUAACCAUGGACAAAGAGUUGUUAUUUGAUUAACGGGAUCACAUCAUUAGGUGAAUGAUCUGAUUGACAUGACCCAUUCCAUUAGCUUAGCACCCGAUCGUUUAGUAUGUUGCUAUUGCUUUCUUCAUGACUUAUACAUGUUCCUAUGACUAUGAGAUUACACUUUGUGUGCUACCAAACGUCACAACGUAACUGGGUGAUUAUAAAGGUGCUCUACAGGUGUCUCCAAAGGUACAUGUUGUGUUGGCGUAUUUCGAGAUUAGGAUUUGUCACUCCGAUUGUCGGAAAGGUAUCUCUAGGCCCUCUCGGUAAUGCACAUCACAUACAAGCAUUGCAACUAAUGAGUUAGUUGUGAGAUGAUGUAUUACGGAACGAGUAAAGAGACUUGCCGGUAACGAGAUUGAACUAGGUAUUGAGAUACUGACGAUCGAAUCUCGGGCAAGUAACAUACCGAUGACAAAGGGAACAACGUAUAUUGUUAUGCGGUCUGACCGAUAAAGAUCUUCGUAGAAUAUGUAGGAGCCAAUAUGAGCAUCCAGGUUCCGCUAUUGGUUAUUGACCGGAGACAUGUCUCGGUCAUGUCUACAUUGUUCUCGAACCAGAGGGUCUGCACGCUUAAGGUUUCGAUGACAGUUAUGUUAUGAGUUUAUGAGUUUUGAUGUACCGAAGGAGUUCGGAGUCCCGGAUGAGAUCGGGGACAUGACGAGGAGUCUCUAAAUGGUCGAGACGUAAAGAUCGAUAUAUUGGACGACUAUAUUCGGACAUCGGAAAGGUUCCGAGUGAUUCGGGUAUUUUUCGGAGUACCAGAGAGUUACAGGAAUUCGCCGGGGAGUAUAUGGGCCUUAUUGGGCCAUACGGGAAUAGAGGAGAGAGACCAAAAGGAAGGAGGCCUGCGCCCCCCUUCUGGUCCGAAUUGGACAAGGGGCGCAGCCCCCUUUUCCUUCUUCCUCUCCCCCUCUUUCCCCUUCUCCUACUCCAACAAGGAUGGAAGGAGUCCUACUCCCGGUGGGAGUAGGACUCCCCUUGGCGCGCCCCCUCCUAGGCCGGUCGCCCCCUCCCCCUUGCUCCUUUAUAUACGGGGGCAGGGGGCACCUCUAGACACACAAGUUGAUCCACGUGAUCAUAUUCUUAGCCGUGUGCGAUGCCCCCUUCCACCAUAGUCCUCGAUAAUAUUGUAGCGGUGCUUAGGCGAAGCCUGCGACGGUAGUACAUCAAGAUCGUCACCACGCCGUCGUGCUGACGGAACUCUUCCCCGACACUUUGCUGGAUCGGAGUCCGGGGAUCGUCAUCGAGCUGAACGUGUGCUAGAACUCGGAGGUGUCGUAGUUUCGGUGCUUGAUCGGUCGGGCCGUGAAGACAUACGACUACAUCAACCACGUUGUGCUAACGCUUCCGUUGUCGAUCUACAAGGGUACGUAGAUCACACUCUCCCCUCUCGUUGCUAUGCAUCACCAUGAUCUUGCGUGUGCGUAGGAUUUUUUUUGAAAUUACUACGUUACCCAGCAGUGGCAUCCGAGCCUAGGUUUUAUAUGUUGAUGUUAUAUGCACGAGUAGAACACAAGUGAGUUGUGGGCGAUAUAAGUCAUACUGUUUACCAGCAUGUCAUACUUUGGUUCGGCGGUAUUGUUGGACGAAGCGGCCCGGACCGACAUUACGCGUACGCUUACGCGAGACCGGUUCUCCCGACGUGCUUUGCACAAAGGUGGCUAGCGGGUGACAGUUUCUCCAACUUUAGUUGAACCGAGUGUGGCUACGCCCGGUCCUUGCGAAGGUUAAAACAACACCAACUUGACAAACUAUCGUUGUGGUUUUGAUGCAUAGGUAAGAUUGGUUCUUGCUUAGGCCCGUAGUAGCCACGUAAAACUUGCAACAACAAAGUAGAGGACGUCUAACUUGUUUUUGCAGGGCAUGUUGUGAUGUGAUAUGGUCAAGACAUGAUGUUAAAUUUUAUUGUAUGAGAUGAUCAUGUUUUGUAACUGAGUUAUCGGCAACUGGCAGGAGCCAUAUGGUUGUCGCUUUAUUGUAUGCAAUGCAAUCGCGCUGUAAUGCUUUACUUUAUCACUAAGCGGUAGCGAUAGUCGUGGAAGCAUAAGAUUGGCGAGACGACAACGGUGCUACGAUGGAGAUCAAGGUGUCGCGCCGGUGACGAUGGUGAUCAUGACGGUGCUUCGAAGAUGGAGAUCACAAGCACAGGAUGAUGAUGGCCAUAUCAUAUCACUUAUAUUGAUUGCAUGUGAUGUUUAUCUUUUAUGCAUCUUAUCUUGCUUUGAUUGACGGGAGCAUUAUAAGAUGAUCUCUCACUAAUUAUCAAGAAGUGUUCUCCCUGAGUAUGCACCGUUGCGAAAGUUCUUCGUGCUGAGACACCACGUGAUGAUCGGGUGUGAUAGGCUCUACGUUCAAAUAUAACAGGUGCAAAACAGUUGCACACGCAGAAUACUUAGGUUAUACUUGACGAGCCAAGCAUAUACAGAUAUGGCCUCGGAACACGGAGACCGAAAGGUCGAGCGUGAAUCAUAUAGCAGAUAUGAUCAACAUAGCGAUGUUCACCAAUGAAACUACUCCAUCUCACGUGAUGAUCGGACAUGGUUUAGUUGAUUUGGAUCAUGUAAUCACUUAGAGGGUUAGAGGGAUGUCUAUCUAAGUGGGAGUUCUUAAGUAAUAUGAUUAAUUGAACUUAAAUUUAUCAUGAACUUAGUCCUGGUAGUAUUUUGCAGAUCAAUAGCUCGCGUUGUUGCUUCCCUGUGUUUAUUUUGAUAUGUUCCUAGAGAAAAUUGUGUUGAAAGAUGUUAGUAGCAAUGAUGCGGAUUGGAUCCGUGAUCUGAGGUUUAUCCUCAUUGCUGCACAGAAGAAUUAUGUCCUUGAUGCACCGCUAGGUGACGGACCUAUUGCAGGAGCAGAUGCAGACGUUAUGAACGUUUGGCUAGCUCAAUAUGAUGACUACUUGAUAGUUUAGUGCACCAUGCUUAAUGGCUUAGAAUCAGGACUUCAAAGACGUUUUGAACAUCAUGGAGCAUAUGAGAUGUUCCAGGAGUUGAAGUUAAUAUUUCAAGCAAAUACCCGAGUUGAGAGAUAUGAAGUCUCCAACAAGUUCUAUAACUAAAAGAUGGAGGAGAAUCGCUCAACUAGUGAGCAUGUGCCCAGAUUGUCUGAGUACUACAAUCGCUUGAAUCUAGUGGGAGUUAAUCUUCCAGAUAAGAUAGUGAUUGACAGAAUUCUCUAGUCACCAUCACCAAGUUAGUAGAACUUCGUGAUGAACUAUGAUAUGCAAGGGAUAACGGAAACGAUUCCCAAGCUCUUCGUAAUGCGGAAAUUGACGAAGGUAGAAAUCGAGAAAAACAUCAAAUGUUAAUGGUAGACAAGACCACUAGUUUCAAGAAAAGGGCAGAGGGAAGAAGGGGAACUUCAAGAAGAACAGCAAGCAAGUUGCUGCUCAAUUGAAGAAGCCCAAGUCCGGUCCUAAACCUGAGACUAAGUGUUUCUACUGCAAAGGGACUGGUCACUGGAAGCGGAACUACCCCAAGUGAUUGGCAGAUAAGAAGGAUGGCAAAGUGAACAUAAGUAUAUUUGAUAUACAUGUUAUUGAUGUGUACUUUACUAGUGUUUAUAGCAACCCCUCAGUAUUUGAUACUAGUUCAGUUGCUAAGAUUAGUAACUCGAAACGGGAGUUGUAGAAUAAACAGAGACUAGUUAAGGGUGAAGUGACGAUGUGUGUUGGAAGUGGUUCCAAGAUUGAUAUGAUCAUCAUCGCACACUCCCUAUACUUUCGGGAUUAGUGUUGAACCUGAAUAAGUGUUAUUUGGUGUUUGCGUUGAGCAUGAAUAUGAUUUGAUCAUGUUUAUUGUAAUACAGUUAUUCAUUUAAGUAAGAGGAUAAAUUGUUGUUCUGUUUACAUGAAUAAAACCUUAUAUGGUUACACACCCAAUGAAAAUAGUUUGUUGGAUCUCGAUCAUAGUGACACACAUAAUCAUAAUAUUGAAACCAAAAGAUGCAAAGUUAAUAAUGAUAGUGCAACUUAGUUGUAGCACUGCCGUUUAGGUCAUAUUGGUGUAAAGCGCAUGAAGAAACUCCAUGCUGAUGGGAUUUUGGAAUCACUUGAUUAUGAAUCACUUGAUGCUUGCGAACCAUGCCUCAUGGGCAAGAUGACUAAGACUCCGUUCUCCGGAGCGAGCAACUGACUUAUUGAAAAUAAUACAUACUGAUGUAUGCGGUCCGAUGAGUGUUAAGGCUCACGACAAGUAUCGUUAUUUUCUAAACUUCACAGAUGAUUUGAGCAGAUAUGGGUAUAUCUACUUGAUGAAACAUAAGUCUGAAACAUUUGAAAAGUUCAAAGAAUUUCAGAGUGAAGUGGAAAAUCAUCGUGACAAGAAAAUAAAGUUUCUACCAUCUGAUCGCGGAGACAAAUAUUUGAGUUACGAGUUUGGUCUUCAAUUAAAACAAUGUGGAAUAGUUUCACAAACUCAUGCCACAUGGAACACCACCGCAUAAUGGUGUGUCCGAAUGUCAUAACCGUACUUUAUUGGAUAUAGUGCAAUCUACGAUGUCUCUUACCGAUCUACCACUAUCGUUUUGGGGUUAUGCAUUAGAGACAGCUGCAUUCCGUUAAAAGGGCACCAUCUAAAUCUGUUGAGACGACAUCGUAUGAACUGUGGUUUGGCAAGAAACCAAAGUUGUCAUUUCUCAAAGUUUGGGGUUGCAAUGCUUAUGUGAAAAAGUUUCAUCCUGAUAAGCUCAAACCCAAAUCGGAAAAGUGUGUCUUCAUAGGAUACCCAAAAAGUUACUGUUGCGUACACCUUCUAUCACAGAUCCAAAGGCAAGACAUUCGUUGCUAAGAAUGGAUCCUUUCUAGAGAAGGAGGUUCUCUCGAAAGAAGUGAGUGGGAGGAAAGUAGAACUUGAUAAGGUAAUUGUACCUUCCCCCUUAUUGGAAAGUAGUUCAUCAUAGAAAUCUGUUCCUGUGACUACUACACCAAUUAGUGAGGAAGCUAAUGAUGAUGAUCAUGUAACUUCAGAUCAAGUUACUACCGAAUCUCGUAGGUAAACCAGAGUGAGAUCCGCACCAGAGUGGUACGGUAAUCCUGUUCUGGAGGUCAUGCUACUUGACCAUGACGAACCUACGAACUAUGAAGAAGCGAUGGUGAGCCCAGAUUCCGCAAAAUGGCUUGAGGCCAUGAAAUCUGAGAUGGGAUCCAUGUAUGAGAACAAAGUAUGGACUUUGGUUGACUUGCCCGAUGAUGGGCAAGCAAUUGAGAAUAAAUGGAUCUUCAGGAGGAAGACGGACGCUGAUAGUAGUGUUACUAUCUACAAAGCUAGAAUUGUCGCAAAAGGCUUUCGACAAGUUCAAGGUGUUGACUACGAUGAGAGUUUCUCACUCGUAUCUAUGCUUAAGUCUGUCUGAAUCAUGUUAGCAAUUGCCGCAUUUUAUGAAAUCUGGCAAAUGGAUAAACAAAACUGCAUUCCUUAAUAGAUUUAUUAAAGAAGAGUUGUAUAUGAUACAACCAGAAGAUUUUGUCAAUCCUAAAAGUGCUAACAAAAUAUGCAAGCUCCAGCGAUCCAUCUAUGGACUGGUGCAAGCAUCUCGGAGUUGGAAUAUACGCUUUGAUAAGUUGAUCAAAGCAUAUAGUUUUAUACAAACUUGCGAUGAAGCCUGUAUUUACAAGAAAGUGAGUGGGAGCACUACAAGAUUUCUGAUAAGUAUAUGUGAAUGACAUAUUAUUGAUCGGAAAUAAUGUAGAAUUAUUCUGCAAAGCAUAAUGGAGUGUUUGAAAGGAAUUUUCCAAAGAAAGACCUCGGUGAAGCUGCUGACAUAUUGAACAUCAAGAUCUAUAGAGAUAGAUCAAGACGCUUGAUAAGUUUUUUUUCAAUGAGUACAUACCUUGACAAGAUUUUGAAGUAGUUCAAAAUAGAACAGUCAAAGAAAAAGUUCUUGUCUGUGUUACAAGGUGUGAAAUUGAGUAAGACUCAAAACCCGACCACGACAAAAGAUAGAAAGAGAAUGAAAGUCAUUCCCUAUGCCUCAGCCAUAUGUUCUAUAAAGUAUGCCAUGCUAUGUACCAGAUCUAUUGUAUACCCUACACUGAUUUUGGCAAGGUAGUACAAUAGUGAUCUAGGAGUAGAUCACUGGACAGCGGUCAAAAUUAUCCUUAGUGGAAUAAGGAUAUGUUUCUUGAUUAUGGAGGUGACAAAAAGGUUCGUCGUAAAGGGUUACAUCGAUGCAAGUUUUGACACUAAUCCAAAUGACUCUAAGUCUCAAUCUGGAUACAUAUUGAAAGUGGGAGCAAUUAGCUAGAGUAGCUCUGUGCAGAGCAUUGUUGACAUAGAAAUUUGCAAAAUACAUACGGAUCUGAAUGUGGCAGACCCGUUGACUAAACUUCUCUCACAAGCAAAACAUGAUCACACCUUAGUACUCUUUGGGUGUUAAUCGCAAAGCGAUGUGAACUAGAUUACUGAAUCUAGUAAACCCUUUGGGUGUUGGUCACAUGAAGAUGUGAACUAAUCACAUAAAGAUGUGAACUAUUAGUGUUAAAUCACAUGGUGAUGUGAACUAGAUUAUUGACUAGUGCAAGUGGGAGACUGAAGGAAAUAUGCCCUAGAGGCAAUAAUAAAGUUAUUAUUUAUUUCCUUAUAUCAUGAUAAAUGUUUAUUAUUCAUACCAGAAUUGUAUUAACCGGAAACAUAAUACAUUUGUGAAUACAUAGACAAAUAGAGUGUCACUAGUAUGCCUCUACUUGACUAGCUCGUUAAUCAAAGAUGGUUAUGUUUCCUAACCAUGGACAAAGAGUUGUUAUUUGAUUAACGGGAUCACAUCAUUAGGUGAAUGAUCUGAUUGACAUGACCCAUUCCAUUAGCUUAGCACCCGAUCGUUUAGUAUGUUGCUAUUGCUUUCUUCAUGACUUAUACAUGUUCCUAUGACUAUGAGAUUAUGCAACUCCCGUUUGCCGGAGGAACACUUUGUGUGCUACCAAACGUCACAACGUAACUGGGUGAUUAUAAAGGUGCUCUACAGGUGUCUCCAAAGGUACAUGUUGGGUUGGCGUAUUUCGAGAUUAGGAUUUGUCACUCUGAUUGUCGGAAAGGUAUCUCUCGGCCCUCUGGGUAAUGCACAUCACAUAAAGCCUUGCAAGCAUUGCAACUAAUGAGUUAGUUAUGAGAUGAUGUAUUACGGAAUGAGUAAAGAGACUUGCCGGUAAUGAGAUUGAACUAGGUAUUGAGAUACCGACGAUCGAAUCUUGGGCAAGUAACAUACCGAUGACAAAGGGAACAACGUAUGUUGUUAUGCGGUCUGACCGAUAAAGAUCUUCAUAGGAUAUGUAGGAGCCAAUAUGAGCAUCCAGGUUCCGCUAUUGGUUAUUGACCGGAGACAUGUCUCGGUCAUGUCUACAUUGUUCUCGAACCGUAGGGUCCGCACGCUUAAGGUCUUGAUGACAGUUACAUUAUGAGUUUAUGAGUUUUGAUGUACCGAAGGAAUUCGGAGUCUUGGAUGAGAUCGGGGACAUGACAAGGAGUCUCGAAAUGGUCGAGAUGUAAAGAUCGAUAUAUUGGACGACUAUAUUCGGACAUCAGAAAGGUUCCGAGUGAUUCGGGUAUUUUUCGGAGUACUGGAGAGUUACAGGAAUUCGCCGGGGAGUAUAUGGGCCUUAUUGGGCCAAACGGGAAUAGAGGAGAGAGGCCAAAAGGAAGGAGGCCUGUGCCCCCCCUCUGGUCCGAAUUGGACAAGGGGCGCAGCCCCCUUUUCCUUCUUCCUCUCCCCCUCUUUCCCCUUCUCCUACUCCAACAAGGAAGGAAGGAGUCCUACUCCCGGUGGGAGUAGGACUCCCCUUGGCGCGCCCCCUCCUAGGCCGGCGACGGUAGUACAUCAAGAUCGUCACCACACCGUCGUGCUGACGGAACUCUUCCCCGACACUUUGCUGGAUCGGAGUCCGGGGAUCGUCAUCGAGCUGAACGUAUGCUAGAACUCGGAGGUGCCGUAGUUUCGGUGCUUGAUCGGUCGGGCCGUGAAGACGUACGACUACAUCAACCACGUUGUGCUAACGCUUCCGUUGUCGAUCUACAAGGGUACGUAGAUCAGACUCUCCCCUCUCGUUACUAUGCAUCACCAUGAUCUUGUGUGUGCGUAGGAAUUUUUUUGAAAUUACUACGUUACCCAACACCUGACUCGCCGGAGGAGGAGGCGGUGGAGGAGGCGUAGUGCCUUGACUUGCCGGAGGAGGAGGAGGAGGCGGAGGCGUCCAGUUCGGAAGGUUGAUGAGCUCCUUCCGCCAUAGGCAUGGAGUCUUCAGAGCAGACCCCAGCCUAGUCUCCCCUUCACCGGUAGGGUGGUAAAGCUAGAGGUCCUCAAAUCCCUCCGUUAUUUCAUCCACCAUCACCCUAGCAUAUCCUUCUGGAAUCGGCCGGCAGUGAAAAGUUGCGCCGGGUUCAGUAGGAUAAACAGAGCCAACAACCGCCUUGACCUUCAAAUUCAUCCAUUGUGUCAUAAGGUGGCAAUUUUGAGACUCCAUGAUAGCAUCCACGGGAUAGCUGGCAGGAGCCGUCAAGGCAUGCUCCGGUUGAAGCAGCUCGGUGGAAGCCACGCUGCUUCUCCCAUGAGAUGGCGGGGUAGCUUCGGGGGAAGCUUCGGUAGUACGUUCGCUGCGAUUUGCUUCUCGUUCCUCUAUCGCUUGUAUCCUUGCUUGCAGCGCCUGCAUUUGGGCAUGCUGCACUUUUUUCCUCCUCUCAUGGGAUUUGUAACCGCCAACGUCCGGAAACCCAACCUUCCACGGAAUGGAGCCUGGCGUGCCUCGUGUCCGUCCAGGGUGCUCAGGAUUCCCGAGGGCCAUUGUGAGCUCGUCGUUCUCUCUGUCUGGAAAGAACGUCCCUUGCUGCGCUGCUUCGAUAUACUGCUGAAGAUUCCUGACUGGUAUGUCCAGUUGACCGUUCGUCCGAAUGCACUUCCCUGUUACAGGGUCCAAGGUUCCGCCAGCCCCGAAGAACCAAGUCCGGCAACGGUCUGGCCAGUUAAUUGUCUCUGGUUCGAUCCCUUUAUCAAUAAGAUCAUUCUCAGUCUUGGCCCACUUAGGCCGGGCUACGAGGUAGCCACCUGACCCCGUGCGAUGGUGAUGCUUCUUCUUCGCAGCAUUUUGCUUGUUUGUCGCCGACAUCUUCUUACUCUUUUCCGAUGUCUUGUGGGCCACAAAUGCGGGCCAGUGAUCUCUGAUCUUCUCAUAUCUGCCCUUGAAUUCUGGUGUCUCAUUAUUUUCGACAAACUUAUUUAGCUCUUUCUUCCACCUCCUGAAUAAUUCCGCCAUCCUCUUAAGAGCAAAAGACUUGAUUAAUUGCUCUUUAACUGGGUUCUCUGGAUUAUCCUCUGGCGGUAGGGUGAAAUUUGACUUCAGCUUAGUCCAAAGAUCAUUUUUCUGCAUAUCAUUGACAUAAGACACCUCAGGGUCUUCUGUAGCCGGCUUAAACCAUUGCUGGAUGCUGAUCGGGAUCUUGUCCCUAACCAGAACCCCACACUGAGCAAGAAAUGCGUUCUUUGUUCGGAUGGGUUCAAUCGGUUGGCCGUCGGGCGCAAUUGCUAUGAUCUCAAACCUUUCAUCCGAGCUCAACUUUUUCUUCGGGCCUCGUCUCUUUACCGAAGUUGUUCUCGAUCCGGAGGGCUAGAAAAAAGAACAAAGACUUAAUUAAUAUGUGUACAUACCAAAACAAUGAAUGCAUCAAUUUGCUAGUCAGCACAGGCUUAACUAAUAUAUAUACCUGGCCGGACUUGGUUCGGUCACGGGAGCUGUCAUCACGGUCUCCUUCUUGCACCGGCAUUGGGUCACCGGAGCCGUCCUCAUGUUCUUCUUCUUGCACCGGCAUUAGGUCACCGUAGCCAGCUUCUUCACCCUCUCCUUCCAGACCAUCGGUGUCGUUGAGAAACAACGAGACGACAUCACUUCCUUCUGCGAUUAUGUCCCUCAACAACGCUUCUUUUGCUUCGUCUCGGGCGGUGUCCAUAGUUUCUACAAAUAUUUACAACAUGGCAAUUAUUAUUCAAACAUGACAGAUGGAUAUAUUAGUGGCAAACAUAGAAUACUAGCUACCUAAUCAUAGUAAGGAAUCAUAUAUAUUAAUUAGUGGCCUCGACGCUGCUUCUCUAGGGUUUCGGGUGGCCUCGACAACGCUUCAAGGGUUUGGGGUGGCCUCGAGAACGCUUCAAGGAGGGGGUAAUAUCGACCCCCCGUGUUGAAGCUAUCGGGAGGGGGUAUAUCGACAACGACGACACUACAUCUAUGUCCCUCGACGACCCUCGUUCCCGAUAAAAAAAAGAGGAAGAAGAAGAAAAAAAGAGGAUAAGAAAGAAUAGAGGAGAAGAACUCCUCUAUUCUUUCUUCUCCUCUUUUUUUUCUUCUUCCUCUUCUUUUUUUAUCCUCUUCUUCCUCUCAUAUUCGAGAGGAUCGCCGAGGGGUCGGGAGGUUGCCUAGUGUCAAAGGAUUCAACAAAACCAUGUCUUCAUCAUUAGGCGAAAGUAACAGGUGCAUGAUGGUACGAAGCUCUCCAAAGUUAUUUUGGAACGGAGUCCUAGAUAGGAUAAUUCGCUUUUUGGUACAAAGUUCAGCAAGAACCUUCCAAAUAUCGUUAUUUAGAAGGCCUUUGCUGAAAUUCAUAAAAAAAGGCAAAUUAUCCUAUCCGGGACACCAUUCCAAAUUAUCCUAUCAUGCCCUGGUUACUUCCGGCUAAUGAUGAAGCCAUGGAUUUCUUCAAUACUUUGACAAUAGGAAACCUCUCUCGACCCCUCGGCGAUCCUCGACCCCUCGAACCCUCGACGAUCCUAGAACCCUCGACCCCUCGGCGAUCCUCUUCUUCCUCUCAUGUUCGAGAGGAUCGUCGAGGGGUCGGGAGGUUGUCUAGUGUCAAAGGAUUCAACAAAACCAUGUCUUCAUUAUUAGGCGAAAGUAGAACUGUGUAGUUUGCUUGAGACCAAGAAUAUCCGUCCUUGCAUAUUAUUGAGUCUCUUCCAAGAGUGCCUUUUCCAGUCAGUCUCCCCUCAUACCGCGAUUUAGGGAGACCUAUCUUCUUAAGGCCAGGAAUGAAGUCAACACAAAACCCGAUAACAUCCUCUGUUUGAUGGCCCGUGGAGAUCCUUCCUUCUGGCCUAGCGCGGUUACGGACAUAUUUCUUUAGGACUCCCAUGAACCUCUCAAAGGGGAACAUAUUGUGUAGAAAUACUGGCCCCAGGAUGACAAUCUCGUCGACUAGAUGAACUAGGGCGUGCGUCAUGAUAUUGAAGAAGGAUGGUGGGAACACCAGCUCGAAACUGACAAGAUAUUGCGCCACAUCACUCCUUAGCCUUGGUACGAUUCCUGGAUCGAUCACCUUCUGAGAGAUUGCAUUGAGGAAUGCACAUAGCUCCACAAUGGCUAAUCGGACGUUUUCCGGUAGAAGCCCCCUCAAUGCAACCGGAAGCAGUUGCGUCAUAAUCACGUGGCAGUCAUGAGACUUUAGGUUCUGAAAUUUUUUCUCUGGCAUAUUUAUUAUUCCCUUUAUAUUCGACGAGAAGCAAGUCGUGACCUUCAUACUGAGCAGGCAUUCAAAGAAGAUUUCUUUCUCUUCUUUCGUAAGAGCGUAGCUGGCAGGACCUUUAUACUGCUUCGAAGGCAUGCCGUCUUUUUCGUGCAAACGUUGCAGGUCCUCCCGUGCCUCAGGUGUAUUUUUUGUCUUCACAUACACGCCCAAGAAGCCUAGUAGGUUCACGCAAAGGUUCUUCCUCACGUGCAUCACGUCGAUUGAGGAGCGGACCUCUAGGUCUCUCCAGUAGGGUAGGUCCCAAAAUAUAGAUUUCUUCUUCCACAUGGGUGUGUGUCCCUCAGCGUCAUUCGGAACAGCUAGUCCACCGGGACCCUUUCCAAAGAUUAUGUAGUGUAAAUCAUUGACCAUAGCAAUCACGUGAUCACCGGUGCGCAUGGUGGGCUUCUUCCGGUGAUCUGCCUCGCCUUUGAAAUGCUUGCCUUUCUUUCGACAUUGAUGGUUGGUCGGAAGAAAUCGAUGAUGGCCCAGGUACACAUUCUUCCUGCAUUUGUCCAGGUAUAUACUUUCAGUGCCAUCUAAGCAGUGCGUGCAUGCGUGGUAUCCUUUGUUUGUCUGUCCUGAAAGGUUAGUGAGAGCGGGCCAAUCGUUGAUGGUCACGAACAGCAACGCCUUAUGGUUAAAUUCCUCCUGUCUGUGCUCAUCCCACGUACGUACACCGUUUCCAUUCCACAGCUGUAAAAGUUCUUCAACUAAUGGCCUUAGGUACACAUCAAUUUCGUUGCCGGGUUGCUUAGGGCCUUGGAUGAGAACUGGCAUCAUAAUGAACUUCCGCUUCAUGCACAUCCAAGGAGGAAGGUUAUACAUACAUAGAGUCACGGUCCAGGUGCUGUGAUUGCUGCUCUGCUCCCCGAAAGGAUUAAUGCCAUCCGCACUUAAAGCAAACCAUACAUUCCUUGGGUCCUUUGCAAACUCAUCCCAGUACUUUCUCUCGAUUUUUCUCCACUGCGACCCGUCAGCGGGUGCUCUCAACUCCCUAUCUUUCUUUCGGUUCUCACUGUGCCAUCGCAUCAACUUGGCAUGCUCUUCGUUUCUGAACAGACGUUUCAACCGUGGUAUUAUAGGAGCAUACCACAUCACCUUCGCAGGAACCCUCUUCCUGAGGGGCUUGCCGUCAACAUCGCCAGGGUCAUCUCAUCUAAUUUUAUACUGCAAUGCACCGCAUACCGGGCAUGCGUUCAGAUCCUUGUAUACACCGCGGUAGAGGAUGCAGUCAUUAGGGCAUGCAUGUAUCUUCUCCACCUCCAAUCCUAGAGGGCAUACGACCUUCUUUGCUGCGUAUGUACUAUCGGGCAAUUCGUUAUCCUUUGGAAGCUUCUUCUUCAAUAUUUUCAGUAGCUUCUCAAAUCCUUUGUCAGCCACAUCAUUCUCUGCCUUCCACUGCAGCAAUUCCAGUACGGUACCGAGCUUUGUGUUGCCAUCUUCGCAAUUGGGGUAUAACCCUUUUUUGUGAUCCUCUAACAUGCGAUCGAACUUCAGCUUCUCCUUUUGACUUUCGCAUUGCGUCCUUGCAUCGAUAAUGACCCGGCGGAGAUCAUCAUCAUCGGGCACAUCGUCUAGUUCCUCUUGAUCUUCAGCAGCUUCACCCGUUGCAGCAUCAUUGGGCACAUCGUCUGUUUCCUCUUGAUCUUCACCAGCUCCCCCCGUUGCAGCAUCACUGUAUUCAGGGGGCACAUAGUUGUCAUCGUACUCUUCUUCUUCACCGUCUUCCAUCAUAACCCCUAUUUCUCCGUUCCUCGUCCAAACAUUAUAGUGUGGCAUAAAACCCUUGUAAAGCAGGUGGGAGUGAAGGAUUUUCCGGUUAGAGUAAGACCUCGUAUUCCCACAUUCAGUGCAUGGACAACACAUAAAACCAUUCUGCUUGUUUGCCUCAGCCGCAUCGAGAAACUCAUGCACGCCCUUAAUGUACUCGCGGGUGUGUCUGUCACCGUACAUCCAUUGCCGGUUCAUCUGCGUGCAUUAUAUAUAAUUAAGUGUCCAAAUUAAUAGAAGUUCAUCAUCACAUUAAAACCAAAGUGCAUACAUAGUUCUCAUCUAACAACAUAUAGCUCUCCAGAGCAUCUAAUUAAUUAAACCAUACAUUGAAACUAUGUAAAACAUUUCAAUGCGAAAACAAGUGCGAUCAUAAUCGCAACCAAGGUAACAAUUGAUCCAACGGCAUAAUGAUACCAAGCCUCGGUAUGAAUGGCAUAUUUUCUAAUCUUUCUAAUCUUCAAGUGCAUUGCAUCCAUCUUGAUCUUGUGAUCAUCGACGACAUCCGCAACAUGCAACUCCAAUAUCAUCUUCUCCUCCUCAAUUUUUUUUAUUUUUUCCUUCAACAAAUUGUUUUCUUCUUCAACUAAAUUUAACCUCUCGACAAUAGGGUCGGUUGGCAUUUCCGAUUCACAUACAUCCUACAUAAAUAAAAUCUAUGUCACGUUGGUCGACAUAAUUUUCAUAAACAAUAAAUGAACCAAUAGUUAUAAAGAUAAUAUAUAUACCACACCUGAAUCAUAGACAGGACGAGGGCCGACGGGGGCGGAUACCAAAACCAUCGCACUAUAUAAUAUGCAAUAAUAAAAGUAAGAAAAUAAUACAAGUAUCUAUGUAAACAUACAAGUAAGAAUAUUUUUCCUUUCAGAAAGAAGAUAAGAACAAGAGGCUCACCACGGUGGUGCCGACGAUGAGCUCGGCGCGGGUGAUCGACGGCGGUGAAGACGGGGACGGGGCAUGAUGGACCGCUAAACCUAGACAAAUAUUAUGGAAAAUGGAGCUUGGAGAUCGAGCUUGGAGAGGAGAAAGCUUAAGUAGUGUGGCUCGGGCAUUCCAUCGAACCCCUUGUGUGCAUAGGAGGUGAGCUAGAGCACCACCAAGCCCUCUCCCCCUUGGCCAGAGAAAAACAGAGCACUGGGGUGCUCUGCUCGCGAGCGAGGGGUAUAUAUAGGCACCUCAUUGGUCCCGGUUGGUGACAUGAGCCGGGACUAAUGUAACACCCCGGAUAUGACUUUUCCCAAUAUGUAUUCCAACUCUUGCCGUUUCCGGCGUUAAGUUAUUUUAUUUUCUCGCGUUCGGGUUUUUGUCUCCGUGUGUUGUUGUCGUUGUCAUGCAUCUCAUAUCAUGUCAUCAUGUGCAUUGCUUUUGCGUACUUGUUCAUCUCAUGCAUUCGAGCAUUUUCCCCGUUGUCCGUUUUGCAUUCCGGCACUUCGUUCUCCUCCGGUGGUCAUUUCCACUUUUCUUUCGUGUGUGGGGAUUAAACAUUUCCGGAUUGGACCAAGACUUGCCAAGCGGCCUUGGUUUACUACCGGUAGACCGCCUGUCAAGUUUCGUAUCAUUUGGACUUCGUUUGAUACUCCAACGGUUAACCGAGGGACCGAAAAGGCCUCGUGUGUGUUGCAGCCCAACACCCUUCCAAUUUGGCCCAAAACCCACCAAAACUCCCUCUAUCAUCUAGAGCGUUCGAUCACGAUCACGUGGCCGAAAACCGCACCUCAUUUGGACUCUCCUAGCUCCUCCUAUGCCUAUAUAAAGGACCCCUCCUAAAAAUCCCGCAUCCCCUCCAUCCCUAACCUUAGAUCCUCUCCCUCCGCGCGCCGGACAGCGUCCGCCGGCGCCGGACGUGUCCGCCCAGCCCCGCCGCCGCCAUGUGUCGCAACCCUAUUCGCCAGCCGCCCGCGCCCACUUCCUUGCCGCCGGCCCAGGAGGCCCGAACCGGGCCCCCGAGGCCCAUCGCACGCCGCCCGCCGUUCGCCCGCGCCGCCUCUCCUCUCCCGCGAUGACGCCGGACCACCGCCGCCGNNNNNNNNNNNNNNNNNNNNNNNNNNNNNNNNNNNNNNNNNNNNNNNNNNNNNNNNNNNNNNNNNNNNNNNNNNNNNNNNNNNNNNNNNNNNNNNNNNNNNNNNNNNNNNNNNNNNNNNNNNNNNNNNNNNNNNNNNNNNNNNNNNNNNNNNNNNNNNNNNNNNNNNNNNNNNNNNNNNNNNNNNNNNNNNNNNNNNNNNNNNNNNNNNNNNNNNNNNNNNNNNNNNNNNNNNNNNNNNNNNNNNNNNNNNNNNNNNNNNNNNNNNNNNNNNNNNNNNNNNNNNNNNNNNNNNNNNNNNNNNNNNNNNNNNNNNNNNNNNNNNNNNNNNNNNNNNNNNNNNNNNNNNNNNNNNNNNNNNNNNNNNNNNNNNNNNNNNNNNNNNNNNNNNNNNNNNNNNNNNNNNNNNNNNNNNNNNNNNNNNNNNNNCUCCCGAGGCCACGGCACGCCGCGCCGCCUCGCCGGAGCUGCCCACCGGCCGGCGCCGCCUCGCCUCCCCGCAUCUUCUUCGACUCCGGCGACCUCAAGCUCCAUUCCGGCGAACCUCGAAGUCCGCGCCCGGCCGGAUCUCAGAUCUGGAAAAACUCCUCUCCGGUUGACUUUUUGUCUUGAAACCCUAGUUCAUGUUGCCCUGUUCAUCGUGCCGUAAUUUUGCGUUCGUAGCUCCGUUUUGGGCAUAUGGCAUAUCAAAAUGUUCAUCUCAGAGAGUACAUCAUUUCAACUCAUUGCAUUAUUUUCAUUUGAGUUCAUCUUGAUGCCCGAAAUGCUGUUGGAAGAGUGCUACUUGAGAUAAUUGUCAGAUCUGCUACUCCAUUUAGAUAUUUGUCAUUUUUGCCAUGAUUAUUGUGUGCAUGAUAUGCCCAUGAGCUCUACAUAUGUUUUGUUAAGGGUUUUGCCAUCUUUCCAGAGGUGCAACCCAUGUAUUUUUAUGAUGUGUGUGGUGACUAGCACAAGCUUGCAAAGUGAGGCACAUGGUAAUGCUGAUUUCAGGGACUUAGCAUUUCCACUAAGUCCUUGAUCUGUUUAUCUCAUGUUGCCAUAUGUUCAUGUUGUUUCCUAGUGAUCCGUGCCUCUUUUGAGGAUGAUCAGUAAGGAUGUUUUGUUAAUCUUGCAGUGCUCUAUCCAUCCAUGUCUUUGUUUGCAAUUAUGGAGCACCCUAGCUUGAGUCAAUCGAGCUCUACUUUUGCUACUUCGUGAAUCUGGGCAGAUUGUCUACUUGUUAGCAAUUUUGCCGAGGAUGUUGUAGUUGAUCCGUGCAUGCUAUGCUAUUGUUCUUGCCAUGUCUAGCUUGCAUUUUGUGUAUUCUUGAUGGGUGUAUGCUUAGAUUAUCAUGACUUGCUCUGUGGUGAGUGCAUCGAGCUCGUAAACAUGCCUACUUGAUAUCUGUUUUCAGCAUGUUCCAGUUUUCACUAAGUCCGAGAACUGAUUAUGUUUUUGCCAUGUUCACAUGCUUGCAAUUGUAUUUUAUGAUCCUUUUUGGCUCAAGGUCACUACGGGACUUUUUUAAGCUCUUUGAGUAGCUCCAUGCCAUGCUUUACUUUGCCAUGUUCAGGUCCUGUAGCAUGUAGUUUUGUUGCUCCGAAGAGUGCUACCUGAUCUGAAAUUCCAGACAAGUGUUAAUUUCACUAAGUCUGAGAUCUGUUUACCAUAUGCAUUUUGCCAUGCUUGUUUGAACCUGUUAAUGGAUGAAUUGUGUCAGGACCCCGAUUCCAAGUCACAUCGAUCUAGCCGGUAAUACCUCAUAUCACUUUGCGGCCUCAUGCACGGUAUUCCCACGGGUGUCGCCUUACCGUGGCCGGGACCGUUUGCGCCUUUUGGCUCACAUAUCUGAUAGUGUUGCUAGCAUCCAUAUGACAGAGAACCCGGGCCGACAUGGCUAGUCGUGAACCCAAAGCGGCACAGACCUAUGGAGACAGGCAUACAUGAAUCACAUCGAGCAUGUCGGUCAUCAACGAGUGAUUCCGGCCUGUAGCACUGGGCUAACAGGACUCCGGGGAACCCGGGCUGUAGCAGGCUAGGAAGGACUCCGGAAGUCACAGUGUGACAUUUCCCCGAAGGGACAGACAUAGGAACGAAGUGAAACACAUGACGACCAGUCAAGUGUCCUGAACAGUAGUGCUGGGCUAGCAGGACUCCGAUGAACCGGGCUGUAGCGGACUACUAUGGCUCAUGGAAGCACUAGACUACAUUUCCCCAUAAGAGGGCUACCAAGGAUAAACAAUUAGAUUGUCGGAUCCCACACAUACCAAGCAUUUCAAUCAUACACACAAUAUGCUCGAUAUGUGUAAAUACAACAUGGCAUCACAACAUAACUCUACAACUCAAGUAUUAUUCAUUAGGCUCCGAGGAGCGAGAUAUUACAAACAUGGGUCUCAUGACCCAACAAUCAGAGCAUACAAGUCAAACACAUGCGGAAGCUUAACAUGUCUGAGUACAGACAUCUACAAAUGAAAAAGGCUGAGAAGCCUCACUAUCUACCAGAUCCUGCCGAGGGCACAAGAUCGUAGCUGAGGUAUCAAGCUAAACGUCGAAGUCCACGCGAAACUACUAGCGAGACUGAAGUCUCUCUGCAAAACAUAAAUUAAGCAAACGUGAGUACAAAUGUACCCAGCAAGACUUACAUCAGAAAUAGCUACAUAUGCAUCGGUAUCAACAAAAAGGGGGGGAGUGGUGGAGUUUAACUGCAGCAAGCCAGCUUUGACUCGGUGGCUAUCUGAACUACGACUGCAAGCAACUCUUUUGAGGUGGCGCACACGAGUCCACAUAUUCACCAUUCAAUACACCACUAUGGAUCCGCUCUCGUCUCCCUACGAGAAGGCCAUCCAUAGCACUCACACUUACCUUGCGAGUUUUAGAGUAUCCACUUUCACUUAUCUAUGAACUAUGCAAGGGGUCCAAGUUUCCAUAUCCGAGGAAUCCGGCUAUUCGAAUAGAUAUUGAUAACCCUGCAGGGGUGUACUUCUUCACACACGCUCCCACCACUUACCACCAUAUACACGUCAUGUAUCUCGGCAACCUUCAAGCGGAAGCCUGGCGAGGGUGUCGGCCACGGCCUACCUAAACACUUAAGUCUCUAGUCUAGGUUUAUCGCCUAUCCAGGUUCCAUCCGCAGGGAGUCCGGCCGAGGUUUCCACAUACGGCCCCGAACGAUGUGAACAGGGUUCCCGAGACACCAAACAGGCGCCCGGUACACCCGGCCACGGUGUAUCUACCGCAACAUAGCCCACCCCUAGGGUCAGCGCUAUGCACAGCCGCCAACACAUAACCUACAAACACCAGAAACUAGUUGCAACUCUUGGACAGAGUACUAGGGUGAUUAAGAAGCCGAGAGGGUCAAUUAAGGAUCCCAAUGAGUGGUAGUAGCUGGUCAUGGAUCGCAGACACAGAACUAAGUUCCUGAGGACGGUUUCAAUGAGACAACCCACCAUGUACUCCUACAUGGCCUCUCACCGCUACCUUUACCAAAUCGUGUUCACACACUUAGCUCUCAACAGUAGGACAUGUUUACACACCUCCGAUCCAUCCCUGAUGAAUCAGACCUGACUCAACUCUAAGCGGUAGCAGACAUGACAAACAAGCAUGAAUGAGUAGGCACAUCAGGGCUCAAACAACUCCUACUCAUGCUAGUGGGUUUCAUCUAUUUACUGUGGCAAUGACAGGUCAUGCAGAGGAUAAGGGGUUCAACUACCGCAACAAGUAACAGAUGAAUCGUUGUUGUCCUAAUGCAGUAAAAGAGAGCAGGAGCGAGAGAGUGGGAUUGUAUCAGGAUGAACAAGGGGGUUUUGCUUGCCUGGCACUUCUGAAGAUAACAUUGGGUCUUCAUCAGUGUCAACGAUCACAGCGUCGGUACCACGUCUAUCGAGAGGGGACAAAUACCGGCGAACAAGAAAGAACACAAUCAAUGUGAUGCAACAAUAUGAUGCAUGAUCAUGACAUGGCAAUAUGCUGUUGGUUUGAGCUAAUGCAACUAGCAACAUGUUAAAUGGAGUUGGUUUGAACCCUAGGUUCAAAUUCAAACUCCAUAUGUGAGAGUUUAAAUUCCAUUUAUAUGAAUUGGCCUAAUCAGCAGCCAUAAGUUGUUCUAACAUGCAUGAAAAUGGUACAGAUGGAUUCCUUGAAUUUUUUUGAUAAUUUUACAUAUAUAAUUUAUUUUAUUUGGAGUUACGGUUGAAUUUCUAUGAUUUUUAGAAGUUUAGGCAAUUUUUUUGGAAUUUUCUGAAUAAAAUUAAAUCCAGAAAGUUAUUUACUGCGUCAGCAUGACCUAAUAGUGAUGUCAGCAGGUCAACUAUGGCUGGCCAGGUCAAACGUGACGGCUGGGACCCACUGGUCAGUGACUAGGCUAAUUAACAGAGAUUGUUAGUGCUAAUUAAAUCCUAACUAAAAGUGUCAGUGGGGCAUGGCCCACAUGUCAGUGGCAGUGAGGUGGUAAUUAGGUGGGGGGGUUAAUCCUAACGACAGACACGUCGGCAGUCGCUGGAGUUUCGCCGGCGGCGAGCAAAGCGACGGCGGCGCGGCUCGGGAUUGCGCUACGGGCGGUGGUUUGGCACGCUGGGGGCACUAAGGAGGAGCUCUUGCUCGUCCGCAUCCAAAGGAACGGACGGGAGGCCGCGAGGUGGCCGGAGUUGAGCACGGCGUCGACCUCGGCGGAGGCCGGAGUUCGGGCGAGGUCGGGGUUGGUGCUAGGGGGCACAGCAGGUCGAACGGGUGGGCGCGCCCGGCUCCUGGGAGAGUGCUGAGCACGGGGCAAAACUCGGGCGUGGGUGGCGGCAGCUGUGGCCGUGGGGCGAUGAGGUACGGCGGCGGCGAGCUUCGGCCUUGGUGGUUAGUGAGGCUAGAGGAGGAAAUAGACGGCAAGGAGAGAGGGGUUUGGUAGAGGAGCUCACGGCGAGGUCGAAGCGGAGCUCAGCUGGCUUGGGGACGACUGGAAGGCGACGAAUUCGUCGAUGAAGUCCGGCGGCCGUGCUCGAGGAAGACGACUCGUAGCGGCGAUGUGGGGCUCCCGCGGUGGCGUGGCUCGGGGUGGAAGAAGGAGGGGGUCGAGGCAGAGCUUUUGGGAGCAGCGGCAGGGCGAGGGGUGGCCGGUGGCCAUGAGUACGGCGACGAUGACGACGAGCUCCGCUCGGUGGGAGAGAGAGGGAGCCAGAGGAGGGGAUGGGGUCCAGGGGAGAGAGGAGAGGUGCAGGGGGCGAGGGGGAGUGCGUGGCACUCGGGGCUGGCUCCAGAAGCGGCGGAAGCAAGCAGGAGGUGGCCGGACGCGUGCUCGCGCGCGCCGGCCACGCGCUCGUCCUCCUGGCGAGGGGGAAGACGACAGGGAGGAGCCCUAGUGGGCUGGGCCGUCCAGCUACAGUGCUGGGCCGGUUGGUGGCGCCAGGUAAGUGGCCAGGUUGGCUUUUCUCUCUCUGUUGUUUUCUGUUUUCUAUUUUCUGACAUUUGUUUUGAUUUAAAUAAAAUACUAAAUCAUUUUAUAAAAUCCUGAAAAUAAAUAUGUGACUAGAACUAAAAAUAUCCCAAGCCACAUAAAAUGUUCCAGAAUUAUUGGACAUAUAUUAACUAUAUAAAGAAUAUAUAUCCAAUGCAAAUAGUUAUUGAAUUAAUUCAAAGGCCCAAAAGAAAUAUCUCUGAGAUUCCAAAAAUAUUGUUUUAAGUUUUACCUCUUGCCAAUAUUUUCAGAGACUAAGAGAAACAUUUUCUUGGACUUCUUUGAAAAGAUUUUAAAGUUGAUUAUUUUUGAAGUGAUUUAUGAGGGUUUCAACUAACCUCAAUUCAACUUUCAGAAUUUAGACAUGAUGCAUGAUGCUCACUCAGGUAAAUAGAUACAAGCAAAAUCUAGGGCUGUGACAACUCACCCCCACUAAACAAGAAUCUCAUCCCGAGAUUCAAGACGUGAGGUAAGAAGACAGAGGGAACACCAAUAAAGAAUCUUCACGAUCCGAUUGCCCUUCUCGAAGAUGUUGAUUCAUUGCAUCAUGUCGAUCUUGACAUCCUCGCUUUUGAGAUCUUCAUCCAUGUGAUGACGACGGAAAGAAACUCAACUAGGAUUGAUCUUCUCGAAGAUCGAGCUAACAAUAUCAACUCGCAGAAUGAGAUGUUGAAACAUCUCGAGUUGAGACACAAAACACAUCGAGAGGGAUGGAAGAACAACGACGGGGUUUGAUUUGGUGGGCAACAAUUCCACGCCUAAAUAGAUGGUGAGGGGGUUUCAAAGUAGCAAGAAGUUAUGUUGCCCAUAAUACCAUAACGAGGCACCUUAGUGAAGGUGACUCGUAGAGCUAUUCCCUUAAGUGGCAAAAAGAAUUACUUUUGACCCAUAGAUCAUUGAAACUCUUUAUACCAGCCUAAGGUAAUCACAAUCGAUCUUUUGAAGGAGUUUGAAAGAAUGACAUACUCGGCCUAGAAUGGAUGAUGUGGACUACCUUGUUGAAGACAACACAAUGGAUGAUUUUUGCUUAUCAUCAGAAAUGGAUGAGACCCAUGGUAAGUCCACUUUUGAAGAUGGUCCUGAAUAACAGCUACUGAGGUGUAAGCUGGGAACAAAAUGCAAAUGUUGGGAAUGAUUCUAGUAACUGGGGAGAAGGUUCACCGGCAAAGGUGAUUCCACCAAUUGGAUGGCUAUCGAACAACUAAGAGAACGGAGGCACAUUCCAGUUAACGACAACAUCAGAACCUAGUGCCUGAGCAUGCUCUCAAGAACUUGAGCAUUUCCAUAUUCAUCAAGGUUCUGCCAAUAUCCGUGUCAAGGAUCCUGGCAACACAACAUGCUACCAUGAUGAAUAAUGGUGGAAGAUGCAGAUGCAAAGAAAUAUAACACUUUCUCAGAUUUCACCUUAGCGAGGCCAAGGAAACAAAAUCUGGAUAAUCGACCGAGAGACAUUUAGCACUCCGCUUCUAAUGUUCUCCUUGAUGUGCUAGGAUAACUCAUUUAUUGAUAUGGUUUGGUAUCUAGGACAUCAAGUAAGAGGUCGGACUUCGGGAGCACAAGAAUCCGUAAGGAUUAACUGCGGAGGUAAAUCCUACGAAAUCCUCAUGGGAAGGUGGCCAUCUUUCUUCAAUCGAGAUACUACAAUAAUAGGUCUUCCGGCUGGAUGUGUUGGCCACGACAUCCACCUUACCAGUUAUCGAGAGACCAAUAUUAUAGUUCAUGGAAAGUAAAAUGAAGGUUUGCAACACAAAUCGACGAGACGACGUUGCAAGAUUCUCGGGGGAAUGAACUACGGUAGUAAGCUCCAAAACAUGAGCCGCUUCUGCUACAAGCAUGUGAACAUGUUGUCCUAGACAAGCAUGGUCACCUGGUAGUCUUAAAAUGAAACACUACCGAGUUCAGGGGGAACCAUCAACGAGGAUAUCAAAGUCCUUGCGUAGGUCUAACCCUUAAGAAGAAACUUCUUCUCCUUGAACAAAUCAAUCAGUGGCUUGGUGUGCUAGGGAUACAUAUAGAAUGUAGAUGAUCAGUCUAUCAGACCAUAGAAUACUUCGCACAUGCAUGACUGACUUGGGAUGAUUCCAAAGGAAGCAAAAACAAUCUUUCUUGAAUUCACGGCGGCAACUUGCACCUAAUGCACAUGAACUUGGAGAAAGUCACUUCUUACACCAAACAUGUAUUUCAUGAACGGGACAUGAAGAUAAUGCUUACAAAAGUUUCCAACACUAACUUAGAUGUUCAACAUGAAUUAUGGGGGAGACAAUAUGCUGCUGAUGGGCUCAACAACAACUCAUCGGAAUUUCCAUAUCACUGGACUUCCACCAUCAUGUGAACACGGUGGUAGCAUUGGUCAGACCAAAGGAUGUAAUGGUGUAUGCUCGAGGGAUCAACCACAAGUAAAACAACAUUACGAACAUCGUUGGUUCUGAUUUGACUUGCUGAUAGCCCAUACUCAAGUCAAAGUUUUGACAAGAUAAUAGAUCCAACAACUGAUCACGAGGACCAAUUGGUGAAGAUAUCAUCUUUCUUCAACACACGCACAACACAAAGAUAUCCCUUAACAUGAACUAAGUCAGACAAGCUUUUAUCUUCCAACUCUCCAAGUUGUUGUUCAGCUUAACCAACUAGCUCAGGGUAUCCAACACAGAUUCUUGGAGAAAAGGGUGGCUACAAGAAACCAACUUGAUCACGAACUCAACAUAGCGAUCAGGUGGCAACCUGGCGAUACUUCCAAGAAGAUAUUUGGAAAAUCACAACCCACCGAUAUGUUAUUAAGCUCGAGAACAAUCUUGCUUUGCGAGGCAGGACGAUAUGAUCAAAUAAGCAAGGGAUUUAAUAAUCCUCACUCAUUGAUAGAGGAGUGCACCAGAAAUAUGAUAUAGGUAGCACGAUCAAUCUUAGGAUGGUGAUUUAAUUACCAGCACACUAAGAAUGUGAGUAUUGUCCAUUAACUACCAAGCAACGGAGUUGCUAGGAAUAUGGCUUUCACACACCAUGGUUCACUUGUCAGCAUUCCGGUUAUAAUAACACGGAACUGAGGAAUGAACAAUGAUGGCAAGAAGCAUUGCUGCGUCAAGAGUUCAUAAGAGGUGGUGCAAUUCUCAUGACAGUCCUGACAUAAAAGGGGUAAUACUCCAGGGUAGAGCAAAGCAAAAGCUGGAUGGCAUUUUGAUCUGCGGAAUACAACUGCUUUGACCCAAUCCUGGAUAUGGAUGAGGUACUGGAGUUUGUUUCUCCUAGUCAUUCCAGAAUAGAAUGGCUUGAUAGACCACAAGAAUAAUAAGCAUCGAUAGCACGAAUGCACACAUACCCUUGGCUAUCAACUGAUAGAGGAUGGUCGGAAUACAACUGAAGGGAACAACUCAGGGAACAUAUAAUUUUCUAAGUUGUGGAUGCAUAGAUUAGCAUGUCGAACGAGUUCAACAUAUUUCUUCCGGAUAACCCAUGCAGAAUGAUAGAACUGGCAGAGUCACAAUAUGAAUUAAUAACUCAUUAAGAGCACUCUUGUUGUGAUCUUUGAUCCAACAAACUUCUGCCAUUAGUGGUUCGUGGUAUUUGGAAGAAAGAAAUACCAUGGACCUCGAGUACUAUCGCAAGGUUACUAAUAUUCUAAAGGUACGAGCAACACUAUCAACACGAAGUAGGGUGAAUCACGGGUUCGAAAACCCAGGAGUAGAAUACCUACUACUAAUGGCAUCACGGGAUGCUUUCGAGAAUGGUGGCCAGAUUCAUCACACCGGGGACACAAAACAUGGAUAGAUUACUAGGUGACUCCCUAAGACACCUAGGAUCAUAAUAAUUGCCCCAACAUAUAUGUCGUGGCAAUAAAGUACCUCAAUUCACCGCUUAGUGUGGUUGAACUGGCCCAAAGGGACGUCGGGAAUGGAAAGAAGGAAUUUACAAAUGCAUCAGACUAUUUAGAAACAUGGGAUGACUCGGACAGCAUAACGGCUUUAGAUGCUCAAAAAGAUUUGAGACAUCCUGAAAAAAUGGUGGCAUAACCACUCAACAUCACAAUAUCAAGGUUCUGAGGCCAGUUAUGAAUAUAUGGAAGUAGAAGGAACUGAACUGAGGCUUGAACUCAACAAUCCUAGGCAACUACGGUUCAGUAACAUGUCAUCCUGAUAGAUAUAUGAGAAGGCCUAGUUCUUAACCCCGUAGAAAAGAUAAGAUGACACAGAUCAGAAGGUCAUGAGGAUAAGGAGUAAAAAGAGCCUUACGUUCCCUUCCACAAUCAAUUCCCUUAUAUAACUAAAGCAUUUCUAGACUCAACUUCGACCAGUUGGCUUGGUAAUCCUACAGGCAGUCAAGCUCUGAUACCAACGCUCUCAGGACCCCGAUUCCAAGUCACAUCGAUCUAGCCGGUAACACCUCAUAUCACUUUGCGGCCUCACGCACGGUAUUCCCGCGGGUGUCGCCUUACCGUGGCCGGGACCGUUUGCACCUUUUGGCUCACGUACAUGAUAGUGUUGCUAGCAUCCAUAUGACAGAGAACCCGAGCUGACAUGGCUAGUCGUGAACCCAAAGCGGCAUAGACCUAUGGAGACAGGCAUACAUGAAUCACAUCGAGCAUGUCGGUCAUCAACGAGUGAUUCUGGGCUGUAGCACUGGGCUAACAGGACUCCGGGGAACCCGGGCUGUAGCAGGCUAGGAAGGACUCCGGAAGUCACCGCGUGACAUUUCCCCGAAGGGACAGACAUAGGAAGAAAGUGAAACACAUGCCGGCCAGUCAAGUGUCCUGAACAGUAGUGCUGGGCUAGCAGGACUCCGGUGAACCGGGCUGUAGCGGACUACUAUGGCUCAUGGAAGCACUAGACUACAUUUCCCCAUAAGAGAGGCUGCCAAGGAUAAACAACUAGAUUGUCGGAUCCCACACAUACCAAGCAUUUCAAUCAUACACACAAUAUGCUCGAUAUGUGUAAAUACAACAUGGCAUCACAACAUAACUCUACAACUCAAGUAUUAUUCAUUAGGCUCUAAGGAGCGAGAUAUUACAAACAUGGGUCUCAUGACCCAACAAUCAGAGCAUACAAGUCAAACACAUGCGGAAGCUUAACAUGUUUGAGUACAGACAUCUACAAAUGAAAAAGGCUGAGAAGCCUGACUAUCUACCAGAUCCUGCCGAGGGCACAAGAUCGUAGCUGAGGUAUCAAGCUAAACAUCGAAGUCCACGCGAAACUACUAGCGAGACUGAAGUCUCUCUGCAAAACAUAAAUUAAGCAAACGUGAGUACAAAUGUACCCAGCAAGACUUACAUCAGAAAUAGCUACAUAUGCAUCGGUAUCAACAAAAAGGGGGGUUGGUGGAGUUUAACUGUAGCAAGCCAGCUUUGACUCGGUGGCUAUCUGAACUACGACUACAAGCAACUCUUUUGAGGUGGCGCACACGAGUCCACAUAUUCACCAUUCAAUACACCACUAUGGAUCCGCUCUCGUCUCCCUACGAGAAGGCCAUCCAUAGCACUCACACUUAUCUUGCGAGUUUUAGAGUAUCCACUUUCACUUGUCUAUGAACUAUGCAAGGGGUCCAAGUUUCCAUAUCCGAGGAAUCCGGCUAUUCGAAUAGAUAUUGAUAACCCUGCAGGGGUGUACUUCUUCACACACGCUCCCACCACUUACCACCAUAUACACGUCAUGUAUCUCGGCAACCUUCAAGCGGAAGCCUGGCGAGGGUGUCGGCCACGGCCUACCUAAACACUUAAGUCUCUAGUCUAGGUUUAUCGCCUAUCCAGGUUCCAUCCGCAGGGAGUCCGGCCGAGGUUUCCACAUACGGCCCCAAACGAUGUGAACAGGGUUCCCGAGACACCAAACAGGCGCCCGGUACACCCGGCCACGGUGUAUCUACCGCAACAUAGCCCACCCCUAGGGUCAGCGCUAUGCACAGCCGCCAACACAUAACCUACAAACACCAGAAACUAGUUGCAACUCUUGGACAGAGUACUAGGGUGAUUAAGAAGCCGAGAGGGUCAAUUAAGGAUCCCAAUGAGUGGUAGUAGCUGGUCAUGGAUCGCAGACACAGAACUAAGUUCCUGAGGACGGUUUCAAUGAGACAACCCACCAUAUACUCCUACAUGGCCUCUCACCGCUACCUUUACCAAAUCGUGUUCACACACUUAGCUCUCAACAGUAGGACAUGUUUACACACCUCCGAUCCAUCCCCGAUGAAUCAGACCUGACUCAACUCUAAGCGGUAGCAGACAUGACAAACAAGCAUGAAUGAGUAGGCACAUCAGGGCUCAAACAACUCCUACUCAUGCUAGUGGGUUUCAUCUAUUUACUGUGGCAAUGACAGGUCAUGCAGAGGAUAAGGGGUUCAACUACCGCAACAAGUAACAGAUGAAUCGUUGUUGUCCUAAUGCAGUAAAAGAGAGCAGGAGCGAGAGAGUGGGAUUGUAUCAGGAUGAACAAGGGGGUUUUGCUUGCCUGGCACUUCUGAAGAUAACAUUGGGUCUUCAUCAGUGUCAACGAUCACAGCGUCGGUACCACGUCUAUCGAGAGGGGACAAAUACCGGCGAACAAGGAAGAACACAAUCAAUGUGAUGCAACAAUAUGAUGCAUGAUCAUGACAUGGCAAUAUGCUGUUGGUUUGAGCUAAUGCAACUAGCAACAUGUUAAAUGGAGUUGGUUUGAACCCUAGGUUCAAAUUCAAACUCCAUAUGUGAGAGUUUAAAUUCCAUUUAUAUGAAUUGGCCUAAUCAGCAGCCAUAAGUUGUUCUAACAUGCAUGAAAAUGGUACAGAUGGAUUCCUUGAAUUUUUUUGAUAAUUUUACAUAUAUAAUUUAUUUUAUUUGGAGUUACGGUUGAAUUUCUAUGAUUUUUAGAAGUUUAGGCAAUUUUUUUGGAAUUUUCUGAAUAAAAUUAAAUCCAGAAAGUUAUUUACUGCGUCAGCAUGACCUAAUAGUGAUGUCAGCAGGUCAACUAUGGCUGGCUAGGUCAAACGUGACGGCUGGGACCCACUGGUCAGUGACUAGGCUAAUUAACAGAGAUUGUUAGUGCUAAUUAAAUCCUAACUAAAAGUGUCAGUGGGGCAUGGCCCACAUGUCAGUGGCAGUGAGGUGGUAAUUAGGUGGGGGGGUUAAUCCUAACGACAGACACGUCGGCAGUCGCUGGAGUUUCGCCGGCGGCGAGCAAAACGACGGCGGCGCGGCUCGGGAUUGCGCCACGGGCGGUGGUUUGGCGCGCUGGGGGCACUAGGGAGGAGCUCUUGCCCGUCCGCAUCCAAAGGAACGGACGGGAGGCCGUGAGGUGGCUGGAGUUGAGCAUGGCGUCGACCUCGGCGGCGGCCGGAGUUCGGGCGAGGUCGGGGUUGGCGCUAGGGGGCACAGCAGGUCGAACGGGUGGGCGCGCCCGGCUCCUGGGAGAGUGCUGAGCACGGGGCAAAACUCGGGCGUGGGUGGCGGCAGCUGUGGCCGUGGCGGCGAUGAGGUACGGCGGCGGUGAGCUUCGGCCACGGUGGUUAGUGAGGCUAGAGGAGGAAAUAGACGGCGGGGAGAGAGGGGUUUGGUAGAGGAGCUCACGGCGAGGUCGAAGCGGAGCUCAGCAGGCUUGGGGACGACUGGAAGGCGACGAAUUCGUCGAUGAAGUCCGGCGGCCGUGCUCGGGGAAGACGACUCGUAGCGGCGAUGUGGGGCUCCCGCAGUGGCAUGGCUCGGGGUGGAAGAAGGAGGGGGUCGAGGCGGAGCUUUUGGGCGCAGCGGCAGGGCGAGGGGUGGCCGGUGGCCACGAGUACGGCGACGAUGAUGACAAGCUCCGCUCGGUGGGAGAGAGAGGGAGCCAGAGGAGGGGAUGGGGUCCAGGGGAGAGAGGUGAGGUGCAGGGGGGCAAGGGGGAGUGCGUGGCACUCGGGGCUGGCUCCAGAAGCGGCGGAAGCAAGCAGGAGGUGGCCGGACGCGUGCUCGCGCGCGCCGGCCACGCGCUCGUCCUCCUGGCGAGGGGGAAGACGACAGGGAGGAGCCCUGGUGGGCUGGGCCGUCCAGCUACAGUGCUGGGCCGGUUGGUGGCGCCAGGUAAGUGGCCAGGUUGGCUUUUCUCUCUCUGUUGUUUUCUGUUUUCUAUUUUCUGACAUUUGUUUUGAUUUAAAUAAAAUACUAAAUCAUUUUAUAAAAUCCUGAAAAUAAAUAUGUGACUAGAACUAAAAAUAUCCCAAGCCACAUAAAAUGUUCCAGAAUUAUUGGACAUAUAUUAACUAUAUAAAGAAUAUAUAUCCAAUGCAAAUAGUUAUUGAAUUAAUUCAAAGGCCCAAAGUAAAUAUCUCUGAGAUUCCAAAAAUAUUGUUUUAAGUUUUACCUCUUGCCAAUAUUUUCAGAGACUAAGAGGAACAUUUUCUUGGACUUCUUUGAAAAGAUUUUAAUGUUGAUUAUUUUUGAAGUGAUUUAUGAGGGUUUCAACUAACCUCAAUUCAACUUUCAGAAUUUAGACAUGAUGCAUGAUGCUCACUCAGGUAAAUAGCUACAAGCAAAAUCUAGGGCUGUGACAAAUUGGCCAUAUCUUAGUGCUAGAUUUUUGUUAAGCAUCAUGAAUGCAUCCCUUCCAUGUAUUUUGUUGUCAUGUUUGGGUGCUGUAGCUUGUUCAUCUUGUUGCAUUUAGAUGACUACUUGCUGUAAAUCGCAGAACGUGGUCAUAUUUGAAUUGCUUGCCAUUUCCAAACCAUAACUCCGAUUCCGGUGUUCUUUAUAUCGUUUUCAAGCGAUUUCAUCUCAUCUUUCCAGUGGCACACUUGGAUUCCCAAGUUGAGGCCAUGUUCAUGCAUCCCUUGUCAAAUCUUGCAUAUGCAUCCCGCAUCGCAUCCCGCAUAGCAUACCAUCCUUGCAUUAUAUUGUUUGAUCCUUGCACGUGGUUGAUUGUGUCCUUGUUGCUUGUUUGUCUUGUUUGGGUAGAGCCGGGAGACGAGUUCGCUAACGAGGAGCCCGUUGAGUUUGCUUUCGAGGAUCCAGUCAACUCUGACCACUUUGCAAGCAAGAUGAUCAUACCCUCGAAAUUACUACUAUCUUUGCUUUGCUAGAUGCUCGCUCUUUUGCUAUGCCAAUGCUACGAUGCCUACCAGUUGCUUUCAAGCCUCCCAAAUUGCCAUGUCAAACCUCUAACCCACCAUGUCCUAGCAAACCGUUGAUUGGCUAUGUUACCGCUUUGCUCAGCCCCUCUUAUAGCGUUGCUAGUUGCAGGUGAAGAUUGGAGGCCGUUCCUUGUUGGAACAUUUAUUUACUUGUUGGGAUAUCAUUAUAUUGCCAUGUUAUCUUAAUGCAUCUAUAUACUUGGUAAAGGGUGGAAGGCUCGGCCUCUCGCCUAGUGUUUUGUUCCACUCUUGCCGCCCUAGUUUCCGUCAUAUCGGUGUUAUGUUCCCGGAUUUUGCGUUCCUUACGCGGUUGGGUUAUAAUGGGAACCCCUUGAUAGUUCGCCUUGAUUAAAGCUUUUCCAACAAUGCCCAACCUUGGUUUUACCAUUUGCCACCUAGCCUUUUUUCCCUUGGGUUUCCGGAGCCCGAGGGUCAUCUUAUUUAAACCCCCCGGGCCAGUGCUCCUCUGAGUGUUGGUCCAACUCGUCAACCGCCGAUGGCUACUAGGGGCAACUCUGGGCUGGCCUACCGGAAGUUUAGACAAUCUGAGUGUGCCCUGAGAACGAGAUAUGUGCAGCUCCUAUCGGGAUUUGUCGGCACAUUCGGGCGAUGUUGCUGGAUUUGUUUUAACCUGUCAAAGUGUCUUGAAGAACCGAGAUACCGAGUCUGAUCAAAACGUCUCGGGAGGAGGUCUAUUCCUUCGUUGACCGUGAGAGCUUGUCAUGGGCUAAGUUGGGACUCCCCUGCAGGGAUUUGAACUUUCGAAAACCGUGCCCGCGGUUAUGGGCAGAUGGGAAUUUGUUAAUGUCCGGUUGUAGAUAACUUGAACCUUAACUUAAUUAAAAUGAAUCAACUGAGUGUGUUACCGUGAUGGCCUCUUCUCGGCGGAGUCCGGGAAGUGGACACGGUGUUGGAGUAAUGCUUGCGCAGGUUGCUCUCUAGUUUCUCGCUCGCGCUUUGCCUCCUCUUCUUGCUCUCUUUUGCGAACAGGAUAGCCACCACAUAUGCUAGUCGCUUGCUGCAGCUCCACAUAUAUUUACCUUGCCAUACCUAUUAAGCUUAAAUAGUCUUGAUCGCGAGGGUGCGAGAUUGUUGAGUCCCUGUGGCUCACAGAUUACUAUUACACCAGAUGCAGGGCCUGAUGAUUCCGCUCCAGGUGACGCGCUUGAGCUCAAGUGGGAGUUCGAUGAGGACUCUCAACGAUACUACGUGUCUUAACCUGAUGAUCAGUAGUGGUGCCCAGUUGGGGGUGAUCGGGACCGUGUCGCAUGUUGGGUUAUCUUUUAUUUUGGCGCCGUAGUCGGGCCAUGAGUGUUUGGAUGAAGUAAUGUUAUUUAUGUACUUGAUUGACGUGGCGAGUGUAAGCCAACUAUGUUAUCUCCCCUUUUAUCUUAUAUAUAUUACAUGGGAUGUUGUGAUGAUUGCCUAACUUGCGACAUAUGCCUUCAAUGCGAUUAUGCCUCUAAGUCGUGCCUCGACACGUGGGAGAUAUAGUCGCAUCGAGGGUGUUACAACUAAAGGGGAGCCUUUGGUCCCGGUUCAAGCCACCAACCAGGACCAAUGGUGGUGGGCCAGGAGCGAGGCCCAUUGGUCCCGAUUCAUCCCACCAACCGGGACCAAAAGGUCCAGAUGAACCAGGACCAAUGGCCCACGUGGCCCGGCCGGCCCCCUGGGCUCACGAACCGGGACCAAUGCCCACAUUGGGGCAUUGGUCCCGGUUCUGGACUGAACCGGGACUAAUGGGCUGACCCGGCCUGGACCAAAGCCCUGUUUUCUACUAGUGCCUCUCCCUCACGUCGUCUCCUCUGAGGCGACCCGGAGGCCCCAAAACCUAGCGCCACCAGGCCCGGCCAACAGCUACUCCUCGUCAGGUGGCGAGCGAUCGAGCUGGGGGAUGUUUGAUCCCCUUUCGGUUGCGUGGCUCGGUGGAUCCUGGUAGGUCGACGGUCUUGGCGGCGUUGCCGGUGGGCCUCUAGGGCGUUUGCGCGUUCCAUGGGCUCGACACUCGUGGCAUUGCGGUCGGCAGGUGUCCGUCCGGCAAUGGUGAUGUUUUGCGACUUCUGGUGUGAUAAUGAGGGCGGCUUCGGGUGGAGUUGAGCUACUGUUGAGCUUUGGUAGUCAGUCUCAUCCGGUGUAUUCGAGGGAUUGUCGUGCCUUGCUUGUCUUCCUAAAGUCAGAGCUGCAGAGGAGGUUCCUCCGCGGUGAUGAUGACAUGAGACAGGUCGUCGGUUCCAGUGCCGGCUCGGCGCAGGCCCAAUGCUUUUCCCCUACAAUACUUGUCAAUAGAGUCGGUUCUGCCUGGUCAUCGGCGUGUGUGGUGGAUUGUUUGGCAUCGGCCGACGCAGGCCUUGGUGCUUGUUUGCAGCGAGGGCUACAUCGGUGGUCGUUGAUGGCGGAGUUGGAGUCGCCCUCGCAGAAGUGUGAUGACAAUGACACCAGAUUGCAACCUCGACGAUGCUUUUCUCCUUGACGGCGUGUGUGCAUUCUUGUGUGGGUUGCCAUGUCGCCCUAUGUGACUUAUGUUUUGCGAGCGUGUUGUGACGGUUUUCGCAAGGUUUUUCGUUAAUUAACUGGGCAACUCUUUUUGACCUUUUUUAAUAAAUCGGGCCCUAAGGGACUACGUUCCAUAAAAAACAUGGGAGGUGGGAAUAGAUUACUUGUGCGGAUACCUUGUAUUUUUACUAUGUAUAUGCACUACUGGAAGGUAGUUUCGUUGAUCUAGGUGGAUUAGAUCUUAUUAUACAAAAGAAAAUAUAUAGCUUUCUAAAAUGGGAUGACUUGCAAUACCGCCAAUAAAUAAAUUAAGAUGGAGUUUUAGAAGCCGCACAUUUUAUAAAUACUUCAGUAAGUUUGCUUCUCAUCAUAUUUGCAGGACAACAAAGAAGCCACAUGUUCAAGUCUCUUCAAGUCUUACUUGAGUGAUCCUGAUGCAAGUUCAAGCCUCUUCAAGCCUUACUAGAGUGGUCCUGAUGCAAGUUCAAUCCUCUUCAAGUCUUACUAGAGUGGUCCUUAUGCAAAAGUUCAAGCCUCUUGGAUGCAAAUAUUUAUUUUUUAUGGUUGUAAUGCAUUUGUGAUGGCACAUUGUAUUCUUUCGUGUUCCUUCUUAACACAAGCUUUGAAACUUUGAAGAUCUUGGUUUUCGACAAAUGCAAC
rnacentral:lncRNA from 1 species